rnacentral:rRNA from 1 species
AGUGAACGCUGGCGGUAGGCCUAACACAUGCAAGUCGAACGGCAGCACAGUAAGAGCUUGCUCUUACGGGUGGCGAGUGGCGGACGGGUGAGGAAUACAUCGGAAUCUACUUUUUCGUGGGGGAUAACGUAGGGAAACUUACGCUAAUACCGCAUACGACCUACGGGUGAAAGCAGGGGAUCUUCGGACCUUGCGCGAUUGAAUGCGCCGAUGUCGGAUUAGCUAGUUGGCGGGGUAAAGGCCCACCAAGGCGACGAUCCGUAGCUGGUCUGAGAGGAUGAUCAGCCACACUGGAACUGAGACACGGUCCAGACUCCUACGAGAGGCAGCAGUGGGGAAUAGGGGACAAUGGGCGCAAGCCUGAUCCAGCCAUACCGCGUGGGUGAAGAAGGCCUUCGGGUUGUAAAGCCCUUUUGUUGGGAAAGAAAAGCAGCAGGUUAAUACCCCGCUGUUCUGACGGUACCCAAAGAAUAAGCACCGGCUAACUUCGUG